rnacentral:tRNA from 1 species
GCCCGGCUAGCUCAAUCGGUAGAGCGUGAGACUCUUACAACAGAUAUCUCAAGGUUGCGGGUUCGACCCCCGCGUUGGGCU